rnacentral:rRNA from 1 species
CAUGCAAGUCGAGCGGUAAGGCCCCUUCGGGGGUACACGAGCGGCGAACGGGUGAGUAACACGUGAGCAACCUACCCUCAACUCUGGGAUAAGCCCGGGAAACCGGGUCUAAUACCGGAUAUCACCUUGACCUUCAUGGGUUUUGGUUGAAAGUUCUGGCGGUUGGGGAUGGGCUCGCGGCCUAUCAGCUUGUUGGUGGGGUAAUGGCCUACCAAGGCGUCGACGGGUAGCCGGCCUGAGAGGGCGACCGGCCACACUGGGACUGAGACACGGCCCAGACUCCUACGGGAGGCAGCAGUGGGGAAUAUUGCGCAAUGGGCGAAAGCCUGACGCAGCAACGCCGCGUGAGGGAUGACGGCCUUCGGGUUGUAAACCUCUUUCAGCAGGGACGAAGCGAGAGUGACGGUACCUGCAGAAGAAGGACCGGCCAACUACGUGCCAGCAGCCGCGGUAAUACGUAGGGUCCGAGCGUUGUCCGGAAUUAUUGGGCGUAAAGGGCUCGUAGGCGGUUCGUCGCGUCGGGAGUGAAAACUCGGAGCUUAACUCCGAGCCUGCUUCCGAUACGGGCAGACUAGAGGUAGGCAGGGGAGAGCGGAACUCCUGGUGUAGCGGUGGAAUGCGCAGAUAUCAGGAAGAACACCGGUGGCGAAGGCGGCUCUCUGGGCCUUACCUGACGCUGAGGAGCGAAAGCGUGGGUAGCGAACAGGAUUAGAUACCCUGGUAGUCCACGCCGUAAACGUUGGGCGCUAGGUGUGGGGGGACAUUCCACGUCCUCCGUGCCGCAGCUAACGCAUUAAGCGCCCCGCCUGGGGAGUACGGCCGCAAGGCUAAAACUCAAAGG